AUGCACGCUGGCGGCGUGCCUAAUACCUGCAAGUCGAGCGAACAGACGAGGAGCUUGCUCCUCUGACGUUAGCGGCGGACGGGUGAGUAACACGUGGAUAACCUACCUAUAAGACUGGGAUAACUUCGGGAAACCGGAGCUAAUACCGGAUAAUAUAUUGAACCGCAUGGUUCAAUAGUGAAAGACGGUUUUGCUGUCACUUAUAGAUGGAUCCGCGCCGCAUUAGCUAGUUGGUAAGGUAACGGCUUACCAAGGCAACGAUGCGUAGCCGACCUGAGAGGGUGAUCGGCCACACUGGAACUGAGACACGGUCCAGACUCCUACGGGAGGCAGCAGUAGGGAAUCUUCCGCAAUGGGCGAAAGCCUGACGGAGCAACGCCGCGUGAGUGAUGAAGGUCUUCGGAUCGUAAAACUCUGUUAUUAGGGAAGAACAAAUGUGUAAGUAACUAUGCACGUCUUGACGGUACCUAAUCAGAAAGCCACGGCUAACUACGUG
rnacentral:rRNA from 1 species